UGUGGGAGCGAGCCUGCUCGCGAUAGCGGUGUGUCAGUGACAUCUUUGUUGGCUGACCCACCGCUAUCGCGAGCAGGCUCGCUCCCACA
rnacentral:misc_RNA from 1 species